CAGCCCUCCUCCUCUUUAAUAGAGUUGAUCAAUAACCUGCUGUUGACCCCUGGGCGACCUCUGACCCUCCAGCAGCUGAUUGAUGAAGCUCAUUUCACUUAUUGAUCGUUUUUAUUGUUGCUGUCUGAGCGGCUGCAGAACGAAGCGAAGAUGAAUCAGCGGUUUGGAUCGGCCUCGGGGCGUCUGAGAGGAGGUUGGAGGUCACGGAGGGUCGAGAUGAAGAGAUGGAGAGCAGACGGUGGAACAUCUGAGAGGCUUCAUGAAGAGGAGAAGAUCUGUGCAGGUCCAGAACCUCCUGCUCUUGUGUUGAUCCGUCCAGUAGAACCAUGAGGCCGCUGGUUGGUUCUGGUCGGGGUCAUUCAGGUGGUGAAGAUAACGAUCUCAGUUUAUCUGCAGCUCAUCUCUGACUCUGCAGUUUUCUGCUUCGACGUGUCUCAACAGCUGCAGUGUCGCAGGAUGAAGCCUGAGUGAUCUGACAACCACAGUCUCUUUCUUCUCGGUCUCAGGUUUUGAGGACGUCCUGUUCUAGUCAGAUUUAUUUAUGUUCUAUAUGAUGGAUUUAACUGGACCCUCAGAGAUCUUCAGGAACCUGGAAACGUUCUUCUACAGUACAUUAAUAAUUCUGUGUAUUUUCCUUUAAAUAUAAAUUCCAUAAAUGCUG
ensembl:lncRNA